UCAUCUGUGUUAAGCAGCACUGUGUUACCUGAGGCUAUAUGGUACGUUCUAUAUGAUCAAAGCAGAAAUGCAGCAGCUUCUGACGAAGAGUUAUCGUGGCUGAGGGGAAAAAAUAUCAAGGAAGGAGAAAAAAGAUACAGCGCUACAAAAUACCAGGUCGUGCCACCAAAGUAAACACCCACAGAAAAUGCUGAUCUCUCAAAACUGGAAAUCUUUGUGGGAAAAACAUCAGUUUCAACAAAAUGCUUGCUGGGAAGAAUCUUCCACUCCAACUUGAGACGGAUGGUCAAAACCUGAUUGGGAAAGGAUCCUCGCACAGCCAGCAGCCCAGCGGUUAGCACAUUCCCCGAUGAUGUGGAUUUAUACCAUCUGAUACAGGAAAGAUUGAGAUGGCUCCAAAUAAAGCAGAGCAAGGAUUUAACAUAGUCUUCCCACAGGCCUUGCAAAUGCCCUAACAUCUGGGUUAUGGAACACUGUCUCUCCUCUGCCCCAAGGAAUGGGAUUUUAUGAGUCAAAGCCAAUCCACCAGGAGCAAUUUUGCAUAACAGAUCGAUCCUAGCCAAGGAGAUGUUGUAGAUCAUAGACUUGAAUCCUGGUUUCCCACAUCUUACAGGAACGGCCUCAGAACUCAGAGCUGAACCUCUCUCUGUUCACUUGCUCUCUCUGUACCAAGAGGUCCUAUUUUUAUUUUGAUGAGAAAAAAAUUCUAAAACCUCCACAUUUUUCCUGAAACAGAUGUUUCACUUUCUAGCCAGCUUUACUCAGCAUUUUGUAGAAGAGAGUCCUUGGUCUGAUACCAGAUGUUUAACAUCUGCCUGACUUUGGGUUUUCCACUGCAGCCAUUUCUUUAAAAAGUGGCCAACACACAGAGAGUGAGAAGUACUUUCUAUCAACCACAAUAGACUGUAAAUCAGAUGCCAAAGUUUUUGACAACUCCCCCAAAAUGUUCUCGUGUUUUUUCAACAACAAAAAGAUAGCUUCUUUACAAUAAAGCAUCAUUUAAAGAGUCAUUGCAGGAGCCCACAUUGGAAGCGAAGGGGUCUGAUGCUUUGCCUUCUGUGCAGUGCUGGUCUUUAACGCCUGCUUUGUCUGUUCCUGGUCUCAGAGAUAACUGGUACGACUUGUGCAAGACCCUUGCAUGGCUCGAGUCAGCUGAUCUUUUUGCUGCAGCUCUGCAGCUACCGGAGAGCUGGCUUGCACUCCCUUCAGCUAGUGACUGCUCCUCACUAUGGUCUUAAAUAUUGCAAGGUAGGGUGGAGAAAAAGGAGGAAAGGAUAAUCUGCUAAAAAACACUGUGACCUCCUGGUAUUGAGGGAGGCAAGGAGCGGUUUUCUCAGAGGGUCAGAGAGGUACCAAGGUGUAGCAAAGACCUGUGAGAUACAGCCUCCUCUGUUCCUCCCUUUGGCCAAGGCUGGAACCCUCUUUCCGAAAGCACUUGGGCACACAGGAGGAGUGGCGCUGACAAUUGUUUCUUUAACCAGUCCUACAGUUUCCAUCUGGAAAAGAAGCUCUUUUCUAACUCAACAGUAUAAACUAAUGCUUUGCUCGGAGCUAAUCCUUCUUCUAAAUUAGGAACUGAACUCAUCAGUAUUUACACAGAAGUAGCUGGUAGCUGGAUGACAACCUCAAGGAGCAUUAGCUGAAAGGUGCUGAAGAGUAAUAGCAUUAUUCUAUCAUUACUACAAGAAGAAAAGGAAACUGUACAUCACAGGGAAGGCUGACCAGCUGCUAGCAUUACAUAAUAGAUGGGUUCAUUGUUGAUUCAAUAAAUGCUAAGAAUACAGAAAUUUAUCUAGAAAGCCAGAUACUCUUGUGUCCACAUUAAGGAUUUACCAAAAUGUAUGGUUCAAACACACUAUAUAUUUCUCAGUUAAUUCUCUUUGCAUGCUGGCUUACUUCAUAUCUUUUUUCCCCCAAUAGUAUUUUUUCAGAGAAAUAUAAAUUGGAGAGGAGAAACAAAAAGUGUGUUUAAGCAAACAAGCACUUCAUCUCACCAAAAUAAUUGAGAAAAAAAUAAAAAUCAUUUUCAGACUUUACAAGAGCCCAGCUCCACACAGCACCUACUGUAUCUGAGGGAGAUUUAAAACUUGAAUACAGACAGGAGGCACAUCACAGCCCACCUUCAGAAAGAGAACAGCUGCAGCUGAAGGGGAAACUGGAGGACUAAUGAUCGUUUAAGUACUCUAUUGCUGCUGUCAGGAUGUUUACAACACAGCACAGGGAAGAUGCACAAAAGGACUCCUUAGACAAAUGCUGAGUAUAUUGACGAAGGAUGAAAACAUCUUAUAUAAAAAAGUCAACAUUUGUUAAAUAAAAUACAACACAGUAAAAACACAGUGCUGAGACUACCGCUCAAUUCAAAGUGAAUCCAGGCAAUUUCACAGGUAACUGGAAAAAGUAGUGGGAGAGAGAGAAAACUUGUGCUUCUGACAGACACCUGGUGAUUACAAAUUAGAAGUGGAUAUUUACUGAGAUAACAUUACCUACUAUUGUAAUUUCUUGCAUCUUUGUUUGCAGAAUGUAGUUCUGGUGACUGGAGGUGUAAAAUACUGAACGCUUGUAUCCUCACUUGGAAAACAGAGAUGAGGAAAAGGAGUCCCAUCUGUUGUGCAGGACCUCAGCUGGACACAAGGAGGCACUGUCAGAAGAAAAGCAGCAUGGUUUCUGUUGGGCUGGGGGGAGACCCAAACCACCAGUUCCAGUUCCUCUGCCUGCCUUUCCUCCCUGUGAUUUCUCUUGCUCUCCACAGCACCGGCAAGGCUGCUUCAGGAAGUCAACCCCCCCACUCCACUCUUCUGUGUCUUGCAGGCAGUUGUGGCUUCAGCUGCUGCAGAACGUGAUGACUCUGCAGGUUUCUCCUUCCUGUCCUCAGAGUCUAUCAACCUCUCCAUCAAGAGGGGCCACUCAAGUCGGUGCAGAUGCAGUAGCUACCAGCCAGCCGUGGCUACUGGCUGGCAUCAGUCAAGAGGAAAGGAGAAGUACACAGGAAGGCCUGCCCAGCUGUGCAAUAGCCACAACAAGCCCUUCCUGGAAAAAAAAAAAAAAAAAAAAAA